UUGCUAUAAUAUAUAACAAAUAAAAAACAAUAUAAAUAACAGAAUAAAGAAACAAUAAUAUAAUAAUAAUAUUAUAUAAUAUAAUAAUAUAAUGAAAAGCAAUAGAGUUUAGAGAGUGUGCUAUUGAUGAAGCUGUAGAGGUUGGUUGGUUUGUUCGAAUAACGAGAUAACUCGCUGUUGAAAACCGUCAAGUAUAUUUUAAAAUAAUAAAUAAAUACAGAUAAUGUCUUUAAUACGCUCGUACUAACAAAUUCGCUAAGACAGUGUUUAGUCGCUAAAAUACUCGCUGAUAACUCGUUGGUAAUUGAUAGAUACUGACUUCCUUACGUCUACGUUUGACGGUUGCACGUAGCGGUGACAUUGUUUUGCCUGGAGUUUAUUUAUUAUUACGUUAUGUGUAUCCUAACGAUAUUGCUACUCCGAGGCAAAACAACAACAUGAUUUGAAUCGUCCUCUAACUCGUGUGUCGCUACACAGUUGAUUGGAAUUAUUCUUUGUUCCCUAGUAUAUAUCAAUAAUCGGCAAAAACUAAUGGAAGAUCACAGCAUCGAGGGGAAGUUUCAGAUCGUCAUGAUUGCCAAAGGGUUCAAGGGUGGAUUGCCAAAGGUUUACGAAGAAUCACUUAUCGAAUAAGGAUUUCACACGAAAUAGUGAAAAGAAGAAUACAUGAGAAGGGUCUACAUUCUUACAAGGUUUAUCACGUGCAAAAAGUCUGUAAGAUGGAUUAUGUCACUCGACGAAAAUUUUAUCACUUGGUGCUAAGAACGUUAAACGCAAUCCACGCGGUCUUGAAGAUAUCUUGUUUUCGGAUGAGAGAAUUUCUUUCAUCAGCAACAUUCGCAAUCAUCAGAAUACCAAAGUUUAGGAGUAUAGAAAUCCUCACAUUAUGACACAGGGUCUUCUGGACAGGUCUAAUUUAUUCCAUAUAUGACGUUAACAUGUAAACAAAGCCAGUUUAAACAUCAAACUGGUAGAUAUUAUACGUUCACGAUUUAAGGAUUAAUGAAACUUUUUUUUCUAAGAGAACCGGUCAUUUGCAAUCCAUGGCUCCUUUAAAACUGACAACAUGUACUGUACAAUGAUGUAUAUGAGUACUUGUUGAGCACAAUAUGAGUAUUUGAUGACUAUAUGAAGAUGCAAUAAAGAAA